GGAAACACGCAUUCUCUAGCAACACUGGUAGGUGGUUCAAAGUAUAAGGUAAAACAGGUGGCCCAGAUGAUGUAUGUGUUCAGACUUGAUGAGGAGUUGUGCAGGUGCCAUGGAUGCACGGCCGUAUUGCUAUGAGGAGCUGCAUGGUCAUGCGACUUACAUUUAUAUGCUUUCUAUUAUUUCUUAUGUGUGAAAAUCUUAUAAUCGUUAAUGUUAAGACAUUGGUUUGUAUAAGUCAUUAUGGGCUGCUUGUAUAUUUGAAUGAUAAUGAAAUUUUCCUUAUGUUGA